UACGGAGGGUGCAAGCGUUAUCCGGAUUCACUGGGUUUAAAGGGUGCGUAGGAGGGCAGGUAAGUCAGUGGUGAAAUCUCCGGGCUCAACUCGGAAACUGCCGUUGAUACUAUCUGUCUUGAAUAUCGUGGAGGUGAGUGGAAUAUGUCAUGUAGCGGUGAAAUGCUUAGAUAUGACAUAGAACACCAAUUGCGAAGGCAGCUCACUAUACGUAUAUUGACUCUGAGGCACGAAAGCGUGGGGAUCAAACAGG
rnacentral:rRNA from 1 species